AAGUUGCCAGAGGAAUUACUUUCUACUCAUGGUACUGCUAUUUAUGUUUUUGUAGCAGGCAAACAGCAGCAGAAGGAGGAGGCACAAGGUGUGAAAUGGAACCAUUCAGACUCCAGAGGAAAGCCACCAUUUAGCAUUCAGGAUGAAAUUCUAGAGCAGAGACUACUGGCAUUUCAGACAAAUAUUGUGUGGAAGUUCCUGUACUUAAUAUCUUCAUAGCAGACCAGUCAGGAGCUACGCUUAUUUUAGGUAUAUAUACAUGAAGUAUUAGACCAAAAAGCUGUGUCAAGAUUUCUGAAAUGAGUCUUAUUUACAGGGGGAAAUUCUCUUACCAGUAAACUCUAAGAGAUGAAAGAAGAUCAUGGAGUGCACAGACUGCUGGAUUGGGUGAGUAAUGUCCUUGGAAUGGGGAAUCUUGUCCCACCA
rnacentral:lncRNA from 1 species